rnacentral:rRNA from 1 species
CGUAGGGUGCAAGCGUUGUCCGGAAUUAUUGGGCGUAAAGAGCUCGUAGGCGGUUUGUCACGUCGGAUGUGAAAACUCGGGGCUCAACCCCGAGCCUGCAUACGAUACGGGCAGACUUGAGUGUGGCAGGGGAGCCUGGAAUUCCUGGUGUAGCGGUGAAAUGCGCAGAUAUCAGGAGGAACACCGGUGGCGAAGGCGGGACUCUGGGCCAAUACUGACGCUGAGGAGCGAAAGCGUGGGGAGCGAACAGGAUUAGAUACCCUGGUAGUCCACGCCGUAAACGGUGGGUGCUAGGUGUGGGGAACUUUCCACGUUCUCCGUGCCGCAGCUAACGCAUUAAGCACCCCGCCUGGGGAGUACGGCCGCAAGGCUA